rnacentral:ncRNA from 1 species
AUUCCAUGCAAGUCUAAGUACGAGCUCUCGUACAGUGAAACUGCGAAUGGCUCAUUAAAUCAGUUAUGGUUCAUUUGAUCGUACAGUUUACUUGGAUAACUGUGGUAAUUCUAGAGCUAAUACAUGCGAGAAGCGCCGACCUCGCGGGAGGCGUGCAUUUAUCAGACCAAAAACCGGCCGCGUCUUCGGGCGCGUUCGCCUUGGUGACUCUGGAUAACUUUGCGGAUCGCACGGUCUAGCACCGGCGACGGAUCAUUCAAGUGUCUGCCCUAUCAACUUUCGUCGGUACGGUAUUUGCCUACCGAGGUUCUUACGGGUGACGGGGAAUCAGGGUUCGAUUCCGGAGAGGGAGCCUGAGAAACGGCUACCACAUCCAAGGAAGGCAGCAGGCGCGCAAAUUACCCAUUCCCGACGCGGGGAGGUAGUGACGAAAAAUAACAAUGCAGGACUCGUUCGAGGCCCUGUAAUUGGAAUGAGUACACUUUAUAAGCUUUAACGAGUAUCCAUUGGAGGGCAAGUCUGGUGCCAGCAGCCGCGGUAAUUCCAGCUCCAAAAGUAUAUAUUUAAGUUGUUGCGGUUAAAAAGCUCGUAGUUGGAUUUUGGGCGCAGGCGGCCGGUCCGUCGCAAGGCGUGUACUGGACGUCCUGGCCUUCCCUCCGGUUCUCCGCCGGUGCUCUUGACUGAGUGUCGGCGGCGGCCGGAACGUUUACUUUGAAAAAAUUAGAGUGUUCAAAGCAGGCUCUCGAGCCUGGAUAAUGGUGCAUGGAAUAAUGGAAUAGGACCUCGGUUCUAUUUUGUUGGUUUUCGGAGCGCGAGGUAAUGAUUAAGAGGGACAGACGGGGGCAUUCGUACUGUGCCGUUAGAGGUGAAAUUCUUGGAUCGGCGCA